UCUUAAUUCCAUCUUAAGCUUGGCGUGGAUUAAUUAUUAACUUCAUUAACUAUUGUUUUGAUGACGUCAAGUGUGGGGAUAGCCUUAAUUUAUUAAGUCUUUAUUAAUUCAGUCUUAUAAUUUUAAAAGUUCUUUCAAAUGAGACAAACUACAUUCUUACUGUCAAUGUCCUUUAAACAAGUUCAUGUCAUAAAAUAUGAGAGUCUGUCCUGUUAUUACGGAAUAAUUUCAAUUAGUUGAGAAAGUUAUUUUUACAUGCACCGGUACCAUAGAAAUAAUAGACAAUAUUUCAUAGAAAUAAUAGACAAUAAUAGGUAGGUCUAAUAUUUCUAUAACCGGUACCCAUGUUGUACCAAUCAAUGUUGUACCGAUGUUGUACUCAUAUUGUACCCAUAUUGUACCCAUGUUGUAAGUGUGUCAUUAACUGUAUUUGCCUUUAAUUAAUUAACUAAAAUAUUUUUUGCAAACUGCGCUGCUUCUACGACUACGAUUGUUAUUGUGUCUAUAGAGCUUGUUAUUGUUUAUGACAGCGUAACGUGUAAGCUUCAGCUUCAUUAAGAAACACGUAGAAAGCAUCUUUUAUCACAGAGUUGGAAUGAAUGAUUGUUUUUACUUUUUGUGUUGUGUUGUUUAAUGUGUAUGGUUGGAUCUUACAUUUGUAUAUCUUACUUCUUGUUGAAAUUGUUAAUUAGAGAAAUUGUGUUUCUAGGUCUUUUAUAUUGAUUUAGUAUAUAUCAGGGCCGUCGGAAGCGGGUUGGGGGGCCUGACCAAUAAUUUCCAAGAUCAACCCAUUCUCUUCGUUUGUAUGAUGUACAUCAUCAUACAGACACAGUGAUAAUCUGACCCUCACGCCAUCUCCACCCUAACCCCCUCACCCUUCUUAGUACAGAGC